ACUGGGCAACCUUUCAUCCUGUCUGCCACCACAAAAAACUGUGUUGACUUAUGAAACGGCUUGGUCCUGUGGAUGUAGAAGGCAAGCGUCCUCCUGACGUCCAGGGUGUUCAAUUUGCACUCCUCUUCCGAUUUAUAAGCCUUCAGAAAGAAGACAGAAUACCCCGAUCUCUGAAGAUGGAUCUCACCACGCUGUUCUUCAGGGACCACUCAUGAUUCUGGAAAAAUCUCUGCUGAAGUGGUCAGCUAACUGAUUCUGAACAUUGGCUGAGGCAUAAGUCUGGAUGAAGCAUCUGCCACGUCCACCACUGACUGCAAAGAUGUCUUGGCCACCAAACUGCCUUCUGCAAUGAAUUCCUGAAGGAUUCUGGCAACUUAUCUGUAAACUUGGACAUAGCAUCCCAGUUCACAAAGUCAUACUUAAAUAAUAGCACCUGUUGGUUUGUAAUGGGUAUUUGUAAUGAAAAGGUUGAAUAAACUAUUCUCCCCAUCAAGUCUAAUCUC